CAAAACAACACAAUGCCCUACUGGUUACAGACAAAAAUCCCAAAUCGCUACAAAAUCCACGACUCAAUUUUCUUCGUAUGAAAAAGAUAGGGCGAAAAAACCAUCUCCAACCAGUGAAUCUUUCGAUGGCUGCUUUGGGGUUUCCAAUUGAUAACUAUUUCUCCCUCUGUGGACUCUUUCUUGAAAUUUUCGCUUUACAUUGCACCAUUAACGGUUUCAAAUGAUUGUAAAGCUCUAAUAGUUUCAGCUAGUAUAAAUUGAGAAGGAAUGGCAAAAGUUAGAGAUAUAACUGAGGAUUUUAAAGAUGCAAUUCUGCUUGUGGCAACGGUUUUGGGAUACAAUGAGAUUCUUUUCCUUUGUGAAUUUUGUUAUUUUUCAAUCAAUAUGAUAUCAGUCGAAAUUUUUUGAUAUAUUUUUUCCAUUGACCAUUUAUAUGGUGGUUUGAGAUUGGAAUUUAAAACUUUUUCAACACAAUUAUAAAUACUUUGCGAGGUUUGACAGAAGUUUUGUUUUGUGUAAAAUGCUAUGCGAAUUUUGUUUAUGAAAUGCUAUGACGAUUCUCUUAGGUGAUCUUUAUUUUUUUUCUUGGUAUUGUGCCUUCGCUUACUGCAGUUGGUGAUGAGGAAUACUAAUCGAUUCUUACUUAGCCAGUGCUACUGCAAUACGAUUAAUACUAAAUAUUACCUGCUAAAUACUGAUCUUGUUCACAUAUCCGACAACAGAAAUGGUAUUACAAAAUUCUUGUGCUCCAUUUUAUCUUCAUUUUAUCGUAGUUUUUAUGCCUAAGUGAUAUUUUUGUACUUGUUUGCUAUAAUUUUGGUAUGGAUGUCAAGUUUAGGAAAGGAUGCUGAGGCAUUAAUCAAGAAAUUGAGCACAUCGAAAGAUAAAGGUCCCUCAGGUCUCCGAGAGGGCUAGCUGCAAAGUACUGGGAGAAGCCAACUAAGUAUGUUAGCCCAAAAUGCAACCCCCAUUUUAUCCAGCAGCAGCAUUCAAUUAUUGGUUAUUAGAUUGCAGCAAAGCAGUUCCUGCUUCUUGUAACUCUAUGUAUAGAAUAAGGUUGUAACUCUCUUGUAUAUAGCUUUGUUCAUAUUCUAACUGUCCCUUUUUAGCUCAAAUAUGAAACUUUUAGAAAAUGUAAUAACUAUUAUGUAGAACAAAUAGUGAGAAAAGAAAUGAAAAGGUUAUCAUUUUGGUUUUGGUUGGACAAUAGGUCCAGUGAGGCCUCUGGUUCAAAUCCAGAUCAUUCAUUGUCAGUAUGAGUUUAUUUCCAUAAAAAAUGAUUUUUUUGGUAGAAUAGAA